rnacentral:tRNA from 1 species
GUAAAAUGGCUGAAUUAUAGGCAGUAGAUUGUAAAUCUUCGAAUGAAAAAAAUUUUCUUUUACCAA